rnacentral:tRNA from 1 species
GCCUGGAUGGCUCAGUCGGUUGAGCAUCCGACUUCAGCUCAGGUCAUGAACUCACGGUUUGUGAGUUCGAGCCCCACAUCGGGCU